rnacentral:rRNA from 1 species
GGUUAAGCGACUAAGCGUACACGGUGGAUGCCCUGGCAGUCAGAGGCGAUGAAGGACGUGCUAAUCUGCGAUAAGCGUCGGUAAGGUGAUAUGAACCGUUAUAACCGGCGAUUUCCGAAUGGGGAAACCCAGUGUGAUUCGUCACACUAUCAUUAACUGAAUCCAUAGGUUAAUGAGGCGAACCGGGGGAACUGAAACAUCUAAGUACCCCGAGGAAAAGAAAUCAACCGAGAUUCCCCCAGUAGCGGCGAGCGAACGGGGAGCAGCCCAGAGCCUGAAUCAGUGUGUGUGUUAGUGGAAGCGUCUGGAAAGGCGCGCGAUACAGGGUGACAGCCCCGUACACAAAAAUGCACAUGCUGUGAGCUCGAUGAGUAGGGCGGGACACGUGGUAUCCUGUCUGAAUAUGGGGGGACCAUCCUCCAAGGCUAAAUACUCCUGACUGACCGAUAGUGAACCAGUACCGUGAGGGAAAGGCGAAAAGAACCCCGGCGAGGGGAGUGAAAAAGAACCUGAAACCGUGUACGUACAAGCAGUGGGAGCACGCUUAGGCGUGUGACUGCGUACCUUUUGUAUAAUGGGUCAGCGACUUAUAUUCUGUAGCAAGGUUAACCGAAUAGGGGAGCCGAAGGGAAACCGAGUCUUAACUGGGCGUUAAGUUGCAGGGUAUAGACCCGAAACCCGGUGAUCUAGCCAUGGGCAGGUUGAAGGUUGGGUAACACUAACUGGAGGACCGAACCGACUAAUGUUGAAAAAUUAGCGGAUGACUUGUGGCUGGGGGUGAAAGGCCAAUCAAACCGGGAGAUAGCUGGUUCUCCCCGAAAGCUAUUUAGGUAGCGCCUCGUGAAUUCAUCUCCGGGGGUAGAGCACUGUUUCGGCAAGGGGGUCAUCCCGACUUACCAACCCGAUGCAAACUGCGAAUACCGGAGAAUGUUAUCACGGGAGACACACGGCGGGUGCUAACGUCCGUCGUGAAGAGGGAAACAACCCAGACCGCCAGCUAAGGUCCCAAAGUCAUGGUUAAGUGGGAAACGAUGUGGGAAGGCCCAGACAGCCAGGAUGUUGGCUUAGAAGCAGCCAUCAUUUAAAGAAAGCGUAAUAGCUCACUGGUCGAGUCGGCCUGCGCGGAAGAUGUAACGGGGCUAAACCAUGCACCGAAGCUGCGGCAGCGACGCUUAUGCGUUGUUGGGUAGGGGAGCGUUCUGUAAGCCUGCGAAGGUGUGCUGUGAGGCAUGCUGGAGGUAUCAGAAGUGCGAAUGCUGACAUAAGUAACGAUAAAGCGGGUGAAAAGCCCGCUCGCCGGAAGACCAAGGGUUCCUGUCCAACGUUAAUCGGGGCAGGGUGAGUCGACCCCUAAGGCGAGGCCGAAAGGCGUAGUCGAUGGGAAACAGGUUAAUAUUCCUGUACUUGGUGUUACUGCGAAGGGGGGACGGAGAAGGCUAUGUUGGCCGGGCGACGGUUGUCCCGGUUUAAGCGUGUAGGCUGGUUUUCCAGGCAAAUCCGGAAAAUCAAGGCUGAGGCGUGAUGACGAGGCACUACGGUGCUGAAGCAACAAAUGCCCUGCUUCCAGGAAAAGCCUCUAAGCAUCAGGUAACAUCAAAUCGUACCCCAAACCGACACAGGUGGUCAGGUAGAGAAUACCAAGGCGCUUGAGAGAACUCGGGUGAAGGAACUAGGCAAAAUGGUGCCGUAACUUCGGGAGAAGGCACGCUGAUAUGUAGGUGAAGUCCCUUGCGGAUGGAGCUGAAAUCAGUCGAAGAUACCAGCUGGCUGCAACUGUUUAUUAAAAACACAGCACUGUGCAAACACGAAAGUGGACGUAUACGGUGUGACGCCUGCCCGGUGCCGGAAGGUUAAUUGAUGGGGUCAGCGCAAGCGAAGCUCUUGAUCGAAGCCCCGGUAAACGGCGGCCGUAACUAUAACGGUCCUAAGGUAGCGAAAUUCCUUGUCGGGUAAGUUCCGACCUGCACGAAUGGCGUAAUGAUGGCCAGGCUGUCUCCACCCGAGACUCAGUGAAAUUGAACUCGCUGUGAAGAUGCAGUGUACCCGCGGCAAGACGGAAAGACCCCGUGAACCUUUACUAUAGCUUGACACUGAACAUUGAGCCUUGAUGUGUAGGAUAGGUGGGAGGCUUUGAAGUGUGGACGCCAGUCUGCAUGGAGCCGACCUUGAAAUACCACCCUUUAAUGUUUGAUGUUCUAACGUUGACCCGUAAUCCGGGUUGCGGACAGUGUCUGGUGGGUAGUUUGACUGGGGCGGUCUCCUCCUAAAGAGUAACGGAGGAGCACGAAGGUUGGCUAAUCCUGGUCGGACAUCAGGAGGUUAGUGCAAUGGCAUAAGCCAGCUUGACUGCGAGCGUGACGGCGCGAGCAGGUGCGAAAGCAGGUCAUAGUGAUCCGGUGGUUCUGAAUGGAAGGGCCAUCGCUCAACGGAUAAAAGGUACUCCGGGGAUAACAGGCUGAUACCGCCCAAGAGUUCAUAUCGACGGCGGUGUUUGGCACCUCGAUGUCGGCUCAUCACAUCCUGGGGCUGAAGUAGGUCCCAAGGGUAUGGCUGUUCGCCAUUUAAAGUGGUACGCGAGCUGGGUUUAGAACGUCGUGAGACAGUUCGGUCCCUAUCUGCCGUGGGCGCUGGAGAACUGAGGGGGGCUGCUCCUAGUACGAGAGGACCGGAGUGGACGCAUCACUGGUGUUCGGGUUGUCAUGCCAAUGGCACUGCCCGGUAGCUAAAUGCGGAAGAGAUAAGUGCUGAAAGCAUCUAAGCACGAAACUUGCCCCGAGAUGAGUUCUCCCUGACUCCUUGAGAGUCCUGAAGGAACGUUGAAGACGACGACGUUGAUAGGCCGGGUGUGUAAGCGCAGCGAUGCGUUGAGCUAACCGGUACUAAUGAACCGUGAGGCUUAACCUUACAACGCCGAAGGUGUUUUG